GCUCAGAUUGAACGCUGGCGGCAGGCCUAACACAUGCAAGUCGAACGGUAACAGGGAUCAGCUUGCUGAUUCGCUGACGAGUGGCGGACGGGUGAGUAAUGUCUGGGAAACUGCCUGAUGGAGGGGGAUAACUACUGGAAACGGUAGCUAAUACCGCAUAACGUCGCAAGACCAAAGAGGGGGACCUUCGGGCCUCUUGCCAUCGGAUGUGCCCAGAUGGGAUUAGCUAGUAGGUGGGGUAACGGCUCACCUAGGCGACGAUCCCUAGCCGGUCUGAGAGGAUGACCAGCCACACUGGAACUGAGACACGGUCCAGACUCCUACGGGAGGCAGCAGUA
rnacentral:rRNA from 1 species